rnacentral:rRNA from 1 species
AACGAACGCUGGCGGCAUGCCUAACACAUGCAAGUCGAACGAGACCUUCGGGUCUAGUGGCGCACGGGUGCGUAACGCGUGGGAACCUGCCCUUAGGUUCGGAAUACCUCCCCGAAAGGGGUGCUAAUACCGGAUAAUGUCUUCGGACCAAAGAUUUAUCGCCUUUGGAUGGGCCCGCGUUGGAUUAGCUAGUUGGUAGGGUAAAAGCCUACCAAGGCGACGAUCCAUAGCUGGUCUGAGAGGAUGAUCAGCCACACUGGGACUGAGACACGGCCCAGACUCCUACGGGAGGCAGCAGUGGGGAAUAGUGGACAAGGGGCGAAAGCCUGAUCCAGCAAUGCCGCGUGAGUGAUGAAGGCCUUAGGGUUGUAAAGCUCUUUUACCCGGGAUGAUAAUGACAGUACCGGGAGAAUAAGCGCCGGCUAACUCCGUG